UACGAAGGGGGCUAGCGUUGCUCGGAUUGACUGGGCGUAAAGGGCGCGUAGGCGGUUUGUACAGUCAGACGUGAAAUUCCUGGGCUCAACCUGGGGGCUGCGUUUGAUACGUGCAGACUUGAGUUCGGAAGAGGGUCGUGGAAUUCCCAGUGUAGAGGUGAAAUUCGUAGAUAUUCGCAAGAACACCAGUGGCGAAGGCGGCUCACUGGCCCAUUACUGACGCUGAGGCACGAAAGCGUGGGGAGCAAACAGG
rnacentral:rRNA from 1 species